CAUGUUUGAUCAUGGCUCAGAUUGAACGCUGGCGGCAUGCCUUACACAUGCAAGUCGAACGGCAGCACGGGAGCAAUCCUGGUGGCGAGUGGCGAACGGGUGAGUAAUAUAUCGGAACGUGCCCAAUCGUGGGGGAUAACGUAGCGAAAGCUACGCUAACACCGCAUACGAACUCUGGUUGAAAGCGGGGGAUCGCAAGACCUCGCGCGAUUGGAGCGGCCGAUGGCAGAUUAGGUAGUUGGUGGGGUAAAGGCCUACCAAGCCGACGAUCUGUAGCUGGUCUGAGAGGACGACCAGCCACACUGGGACUGAGACACGGCCCAGACUCCUACGGGAGGCAGCAGUGGGGAAUUUUGGACAAUGGGCGCAAGCCUGAUCCAGCCAUUCCGCGUGCAGGAUGAAGGCCCUCGGGUUGUAAACUGCUUUUGUACGGAACGAAAAGGCUCUGGUUAAUACCUGGGGCUCAUGACGGUACCGUAAGAAUAAGCACCGGCUAACUACGUGCCAGCAGCCGCGGUAAUACGUAGGGUGCGAGCGUUAAUCGGAAUUACUGGGCGUAAAGCGUGCGCAGGCGGUGAUGUAAGACAGGUGUGAAAUCCCCGGGCUUAACCUGGGAACUGCAUUUGUGACUGCAUCGCUGGAGUGCGGCAGAGGGGGAUGGAAUUCCGCGUGUAGCAGUGAAAUGCGUAGAUAUGCGGAGGAACACCGAUGGCGAAGGCAAUCCCCUGGGCCUGCACUGACGCUCAUGCACGAAAGCGUGGGGAGCAAACAGGAUUAGAUACCCUGGUAGUCCACGCCCUAAACGAUGUCAACUGGUUGUUGGGUCUUCACUGACUCAGUAACGAAGCUAACGCGUGAAGUUGACCAAUAGCUUGAGUAUUC
rnacentral:rRNA from 1 species